AUUGAACGCUGGCGGCAGGCCUAACACAUGCAAGUCGAGCGGCAGCGGAAAGUAGCUUGCUACUUUGCCGGCGAGCGGCGGACGGGUGAGUAAUGUCUGGGAAACUGCCUGAUGGGGGGGGAUAACUACUGGAAACGGUAGCUAAUACCGCAUAACGUCGCAAGACCAAAGAGGGGGACCUUCGGGCCUCUUGCCAUCAGAUGUGCCCAGAUGGGAUUAGCUAGUAGGUGGGGUAACGGCUCACCUAGGCGACGAUCCCUAGCUGGUCUGAGAGGAUGACCAGCCACACUGGAACUGAGACACGGUCCAGACUCCUACGGGAGGCAGCAGUGGGGAAUAUUGCACAAUGGGCGCAAGCCUGAUGCAGCCAUGCCGCGUGUAUGAAGAAGGCCUUCGGGUUGUAAAGUACUUUCAGCGGGGAGGAAGGUGUUGAGGUUAAUAACCUCAGCAAUUGACGUUACCCGCAGAAGAAGCACCGGCUAACUCCGUG
rnacentral:rRNA from 1 species